rnacentral:lncRNA from 1 species
AUUAUUGCCUUUUCAUGCCACUCUAUGACUAUAUCUACGAUACAGUGGACAAGUCAUCGGACACAUUGUAUGAGAAGUCACUUGAGAGAGAAGCUGAAGUGCCAGAUGUGGUGCACCUUACACAUCUAACAACCCUAGAAUCCAUCUACCAUCUUCGAAUAGGAUUUGCAUCGCUGGCCUCAAAGCCUCACGCCUCUAAGUGGUAUAUGUUGUUCAUGUGGCCCGUCACACUAUGGUCAAUAAUGCUUGCAUGGAUUUAUGAUUACACAUUUGUUGUUGAGAGAAACUUGUUCAAGAAUCUCAAAUUACAAACUUGGGCUAUUCCAAAGUAUCGCGUACAAGUAAUUAAGCUAUCAUUAUUGAAGAUUGGGUUACAUUUUGCAGGUCUUUUUUUUAAAGGGAUUAGUAAUUUGACUUGUUUUUUGAUUUCGUUGCAGUACUUUAUGCAAUGGCAAAGAGAGAGUAUUAACAAUAUGAUCGAGAAAGCCAUCAUUGAAGCAGAUCAAAAAGGCAUAAAAGUGUUGAGCCUUGGACUCUUAAAUCAGGCAAGUCAAAAUAUAUGUCUAAAAAGCCUUAUAAUACCCAUCCUUAUUUAUCUAUGAGAACAAUGCACAAUCUAUUCUUAACUAGUAAUUAUCUUGCAGGCUUAUAGCAAAAUGUUCCGUAAGCAAUCUCAACAUAUUGUUAUUAUGGAGAAAAAGAGUUUAAAAAAAUUCACCCCUCAUCCUAUAUCAAUGUUUGUAGGUUGAACCAAUUAAAGAGGGUCAGUUCAUAUUUAUGCUUUAUUUCAAAUGUAACUUUCCAGGAAGAGCAACUGAAUAGUAACGGAGAACUUUACCUAAGGAGGCAUCCUCAGUUGAAAGUGAAGGUGGUAGAUGGAAGUAGCUUAGCGGUUGCUGUGGUCCUAAACUCCAUUCCUGAAGGAACUUCCCAAGUUGUCCUUCGAGGUAGCUUGUCCAAAGUUGCUAACUCCAUUGCCCUUGCCUUGUGCCAAGGAGAAAUUCAGGUAUAUUUGACUAUUAAUCUCCUACAUCAUUUUUGGUUUUAUCUAAUUCAACAUAAUUUUCAAUAUAUAGGUUGUCACGUUAAACAAAGACGAUUACAAGAGACUUAAAGCAAAACUUACCCCUGAGGCUGCAAUUAAUUUAGUCCUCUCGAAAUCUUAUAAUGUUUCAAAGGUAUAAACCAAAAUUACCAUUUAUAACAUUUCCUUGCACCUCCCCCUCCCUCCUAGAUCUCCUAACCCAAAGUUUUAUCAUUAUGUUGAGGUUUGAACCAUUCUGGGUUUAAAAAGAGGCUCUUGAUUGAAAUAUUAUAUUGCAGACAUGGCUAGUAGGGGAUGGAUUGAGUGAUGAUGAGCAGUUGAAAGUACCAAAAGGAACACUAUUUAUUCCCUUCUCACAAUUUCCAGUAAGAGAAGUUCGCAAGGACUGCUUCUAUUUCAACACACCAGCUAUGAUUGCUCCAAAGCAUCUUGAAAAUGUAGACUCUUGUGAGGUUAGAAAAGAUCCUUUAGUGUUAUCAAUUUCUCUAUACUAAUUUGACGGCUUUUCAGAAUCAAAGAAAUUCAUGAGUGAGUUUGUUUUAAUUCUAGAACUGGCUACCAAGAAGAGUGAUGAGUGCGUGGAGAAUAGCUGGAAUUGUGCAUGCAUUGGAAGGUUGGAAUGAGCAUGAUUGUGGUGACACGAUGAUUGAUGUUGAAAAAGUGUGGAAAGCUAGUCUCAGUCAUGGUUUUUGCUCAUUAACUAAGAUUUCUGCUGCUUAAUCAAAGGGCUAAAAUUAUACUACUACUAUAGAUAAACUGCUGGUUCUAUUAUUGAAUCUGGGAUCUACUGUAUUUUGUUGCUCAAUAAAAUUUACCAUUUCGUUGGGUUAACACAAGUAAGCACAAUAUUAGCCUCUACUAGAACAUAUAAUCGGUAGGUUUGAGAUACGUAUCUAACUAAGAAUAGGGUUUAAGACCACCUACUCCAUUGAGCUAUCCCCCUUCCCGGGUCCAUGCUCCCAAGCCUACCCCUACCGACAUUGUGACAAUUGGUUACAUUAAUGAGCUCUACUAGCAUAAUCGAAAAUCAUAUAAUCCCAAAACAUCGACUGUGAUGAACUUACAAUUUCGAAUUAAAUUCAUAACAAAACCAAUGAAAAAUAUUCAAAACGAAAUAAAAUGAAGAGAACAGAAACAAAUAAACCAAAUCACACAUAAUUUCAAGAGGAAACUAUUUGCAUACAAAAUGCAGGCCAAAAAGAAGCUUAAGUUGAUGAAGCUUACCAGAAAUGGGAGAAAACGGGCAAAUUUGCACGGAACCAGACGGCCUUUACACAGAGAAGAGCGAUAAAGGAUCAACAAAAAUUUGAAACUGGAGAACACGAAUGCAAUUUUCUAUGGUUAUGCAGGAAAAAAAUAGCAAUUUGGGUACUUGAUUUAUUAUCAUAUUCCUAUUUUAGUCCCGUGUUAUUAAUCUAAAUGCUUUAGCGAUCUACUAACCUGAUGUUUAUAUCAAGUCAAUACAUGAAUUCAUGUAUUAAGUUCAUAGUUUAUUUUACUUUAUUAAAUCAUGUAAUAAUAUAUUUUAUAUUAGUUUGAUUAAACACUGAUGCAAGUAAGUUUUCUUUUCCAAAUAUUUGAUCCUUGUACUUAACAGAAGGUAACCGAAGUUAGAAAUUUAAUAAAAUUAUUAUUUGAAAAUGACAUAAUAUAUAAACUGUUCAUUUAAUUUAACUUAAUUUUAUAUCGUAUUUAUGCCCUUCAACUUUGGAUAUACAUACAUAAGUAAAUAUUUAAACUUGUAUACAUGAGUCAUAUGUUGCAUAUUGUUAUGUAACAUAUCACAUACGAUUUGUUCAACUUUACACAAAUUUAAGUGUCUAUUUAUGCAUACAAAAAGUUAAAAGAAUAUAAAUAUGAAAUGAGAUCAAAUUAAAAGGUAUAUUAUUAUGUAUUAUGCAGGUAAAAAACAUACUGAUUUUAUUUUAUUUUAUUUUAUACCUAAAACAAAUAAAAAUGAAUUCUGUAACUGAAUUAUCACUCGCUAAUUUAGGAGGAUAAAUUUCAUACAACAAUGGUGCUAUGUAUAUGAUUUUGCUAAUUUCACGGUGGUGCAGCAACAACCAACCAGAAGCUAAUGUUAAAAUAUCUUACAAUGUAAACAUCUCAUUAUAUCAUUUUUGUUAAAUUAUGGCCAAAUGUUUAUGACCAAAAGGAUUUUUCCGUCAAAUAAUCUAACUUUCCACGCAAACACACAAUUAAUGUUCGCAUAAUCUAUAUAGAGUUAGGUGGGACUCAUAUAGUUGCUUAUAUCUAUUUCUACGUCCUAUCAAGAAAAUUGAACAGUAAUUAUUGACAAAAGUCAUUUUCCAUAGAAGAAAUAUUGAAAUUAAGAAGGAAAGAUGAUCUUUUAAGAUAAUAAUUUUGAGCCAUUAUACGUGAAAUGAAUUUAUUUAAUUUUUUAUAUAAUAUAAGAAAAAAAAUUAAUUUUGUGAUUUUAAAUUAACAUUAUGUCAAUUGUUAAAUGUAACAAAAGAAAUAUUUUUUUAAUUUGUGGUCUUAAACAUUACACAAUCCGAAGUUAAAGUAUUGCUAAAAAAAAAGGAAAGAAUCAUUACGAAUGGAGUAUAUAAUAUGCGAUAUAAAAAAAAGUAAGAUCUUGCGCUAUGAAAUCAGCUUGAAAAUAAUUACACGUAAGUUGUCGUUAUAUAGUGAAAUUAGUAACUUAAUUAACGCAAGUUCUUGUUAUUAGGGAUGAAAAUGGAAUAGAGCGGCAAAGUGAGUUUAAGAUUAUCCGGGGUGGAGCGGGACGAAUUUAAAGUUGGGGGGCGGGAGGGAUGCGGGAUCGGUUGAAGUUGAUUCUUUUUUGAAAAUUAGUGCAGGGUGAGUUACAUAUAUAUGUGAUUUCAUGUGGGUUUAAAUUUACUAUUAACUUUUUACAUAUAAAAGUGAUAGAAUAUUAUUUAUUAAGAUAAUUUCUUUAAAACAUUUAUAUAUUCAAUAUGCUAAAUGAAAAUGGUUCAAUAAAAAAUAAUACAAUUUCUUACAUGUUUUUCAAUUGACGUUUGAAAAAUGAAUUUAAAGUCAUUAUCAAUUAAACUAAUAUAACUUAAUGAAAAAUAAAUUUAUUUUUAGAAAUGUAAUUUUUAGUAUCAAACUUAAUUAAAAAAAGAAAAUAUUAUAAAAAUUAUGUAGGACGGGUUUAUAUGAGGCGGGUUGAAAAUUAAAAAAAAAAUUAUUAUUAUGGACCGAGUAAAAUUUUUACGGAUUUAGCUCAGCCUGCCCCCUCCCGCCCCAUUGCCAUCCUACUUGCUAUAACAGAAAGGCACAUGUAGCUGCAUAGACGUUGGAGUACUUUAAUUUUAAUAGGGUAAAUACGAACUAUAUAUUUAUAUGUGCAUGCUCCUAAUAUAUAGGUUUAGUAGAUUCUAUAUUACGGAUUAAGCUUAACCCAUCUUCGCUCCAUUGUCAUCUCUACUUGCUAUAACAGGAAGGUACAUGUAGAUAAAUCGAGUUUGAAGUAGUUUAAUUAUAAUAGGGUAAAUAGGAAAUAUAUAUAUAUAUAUAUAUAUAUAUAUAUAUAUAUAUAUAUAUAUAUAUAUGCGCGCGUGUAUGCCCCUAAUAUAUACAUAUAGUAGAAUUCUAUACGUAUAUAAAGGCCGUUGAAGCAAAAGCUUUUACACAAAAGUUGUGGCAAAGCUAGAAGCACUUGAACAAAACAAUGGCAAAUAAACCUGGCAUUCUCACUAACUGUCCAUGGACACGUUUUGGCGACUUCAAGGUAUACUUUUCUUACUAUCAUUUUAUGGUAAAAAAUUGCAGGGCAGAAGCUACGAGAACCAGUAACUUUGAUCCAAACUUAGUAUGUUUAUUAAGAAAUCCAGUAAAUAAGUACAUUAACAAAUAUCAGAAUCCAUAAACUUAAAGAUCAUGAUCCAAUAUGAUUACUCUAGUAAUGGUACACACUUAACAAUUAUCAGAAUCCAUAUAUACUCUUUUCUACUAUCAUUUAUGGCAAAAAGAUAUCACUAAUUAGCGCAACUCUAUAGUAAACGUACCACGUACAUAUUACAACGUCACUUGUGCUAACAUUUUUUAUUUUUCAAAAAUGAUUUGUUGGGAUGAUGAAGUACUUGGUAUUGGCACCAUUUGCGUGUCACAGCAUAUACACAUUCUUCAUGAGCAAAGAUGAAAGUGAGAGGGACUUGUUCUACAUACUCCUACUCCCAUUAACUCUCUUCAGAAUGGUUCACUACCAGACAUGGAUAUCUUUCUCCCGCUACAGGACUGCAAACGGGAAUAAUCGAAUUCUUGAUAAAAGCAUCGAAUUUGAUCAAGUUGACAGAGAAAGCAACUGGUAGGUACCUUCAUUUUUCACUUUUUGUAGAUACAAGGGAUUUAACAAAACGAAAGGACAAUGCAAAAUCAAAUGAUUGUUUUGUAGGGAUGAUGAGAUCAUACUUUUUGGGUUGGUAUAUUAUAUCGGAUACCUGAUUCUGGAACAAGCUCAUCACAUGUCUAUGUGGAGGACCGAUGGGAUCGUUAUAACUGCCUUGCUUCAUAUUGGUCCUGUAGAGUUCCUCUAUUAUUGGCUACACAGAGCUCUGCAUCAUCAUUUUCUCUACUCUCGAUACCAUUCGCAUCACCACUCCUCCAUUGUUACUGAGCCAAUCAGUGGUAAUUUGUCUUCAAAAUUGUUUUCCAUCACUUUGAUUAAUUAGAUCUGAUCAAUCCUGGAGAAGAUGCAAGUGACCAUGUUAGUUCUUCUUUAACUAAUUUGAAAUUGAUCUUCGGUAAGUAGUAGUUGCAAUUUUGAAGAAGAAAAAAUCUAAAAAAGUAACUCAGUUAUAUACUAUUGUCAAGUCAUACAGUAAGUCACAUGGCAUAACUAACGGGGGAUAUAUAGUGCAAUUUUACCAAUCAAUUACCAACUUGUAUGGUUUACAAAGUUAUUUUUAUUUUAUUUUUGGCAGCUGUAGUUCAUCCCUUUGUUGAGAUACUAGCAUAUUAUACACUCUUUGGCUUACCUGUAUUCACAACAUUAUUCACCGGGACUGCUUCUAUAGCUUCAAUUGGUGCUUAUAUCAUCUAUAUUGAUUUCAUGAACCUCAUGGGCCAUUGCAACUUCGAGCUAAUUCCUAAGUGGAUGUUCUCUGUCUUUCCCCCUCUCAAGUACUUCAUGUAUACCCCCUCGUGAGUUAAAAAUUCUUGCCCUGUAUUUUGAAUUUUUUUCUCCGCGAUGCUUUAUACAACAAUGUCUCUAAUUAGACAGUUAUUAUUAAACUUUAGCUACUCGGGGAAAUAAAUAGAGACAAUGGAAAUUAAUGUUUCUUUCAAAUGAACUUUUUCCUAUAGUCAGUAAUAACUGAAGCUCUGAAUUUGUGAUUAUUUAUUCUAUUACCGUUAAUAUCAAUGUUUUGAUGGCACAGGUACCACUCACUACAUCACACCCAAUUCAGAACAAAUUAUUGCCUUUUCAUGCCACUCUAUGACUAUAUCUACGAUACAGUGGACAAGUCAUCGGACACAUUGUAUGAGAAGUCACUUGAGAGAGAAGCUGAAGUGCCAGAUGUGGUGCACCUUACACAUCUAACAACCCUAGAAUCCAUCUACCAUCUUCGAAUAGGAUUUGCAUCGCUGGCCUCAAAGCCUCACGCCUCUAAGUGGUAUAUGUUGUUCAUGUGGCCCGUCACACUAUGGUCAAUAAUGCUUGCAUGGAUUUAUGAUUACACAUUUGUUGUUGAGAGAAACUUGUUCAAGAAUCUCAAAUUACAAACUUGGGCUAUUCCAAAGUAUCGCG